UACGUAGGUGGCAAGCGUUGUCCGGAUUUACUGGGCGUAAAGAGCGCGCAGGCGGUCGUUCAAGUCGCGUGUGAAAGCCCCCGGCUCAACUGGGGAGGGUCACGCGAUACUGAUCGACUCGAAGGCAGGAGAGGGAAGUGGAAUUCCCGGUGUAGUGGUGAAAUGCGUAGAUAUCGGGAGGAACACCAGUGGCGAAGGCGACUUCCUGGCCUGUUCUUGACGCUGAGGCGCGAAAGCUAGGGGGGCGAACAGG
rnacentral:rRNA from 1 species